ACCUUUUCAUUGGCUAAAAUCAAAAUUAUGGGCGGAGCCAAGCUUAGCUGUCGCCUAGCAACCGUCAAUUUUCCUAUUGAUUGGUUAACGCCUCUGUAGAUCAAGGAAAAGGGCCUUACCUGCAACCUUUGUUGACGCCCAUCGCUUUCUCAUUGGCUACUGAGCCACUGGGGGAGGUGGGGGAAAAAAAUCUGAUAUAGGGUAUAGUAUCAGAGCACGAAGGACCCACCUGACCCUGUUUCCAGCAAACUGAUUGGCUAGCCCAAUACGUUGGGGUGGAGACAAUAAGAAAGGGCCAUAGCUGCUUCCCUGGUACAUUCCCUACUGAUUGGCUAAGGGUGUCACGCUGGCCUUUAAAUCCUUUCCCUGGCUAGGUUUGCUGUGAAUAAAAUUCGUCCCCUGACCUCACCUUUAAUACUUGGUGCGCAUGCGUGCUAGUUCAGGUCUUGCAGCCCCCACGGCUUUGAGGCACCCUACCUUAUGCAGGAAUGAUAUAGCAGCUGGAAAGGUUUAAGGAUGCAGAGGGCUCCACUUCCCUUUCCAAAAUAUCAUUCUCUCCUCCCCAACUACCUCAGAUAUCCAACUUCCUAUCCUAAUAGGACAGAUAUCCAACUUCCUAUCCUAAUAGGACACUGCUCCACAUUGAUGCUUUUGGGAGCACAGCAGAACAAGUCCCUUGAACUGAAGGAACUGAUUCGACACCCACAGGCACGUUUUCAGGGCUCUUUAGUUCCUGCAGGUUUCAUAGUUCCAAGGUACUUCCUGUACCCAGCAAAAAAUCUGGACAAAUGGCGGCUUCUGCAAUGGACUAACAAGUCCAGUCUCUGCUACCAAUAAAACCCCAAAAUCCUGGGUGCUACAUUUUUGAGACUGCAAAUGUCCAGGGAAAGACAACAAGAAUUGUUAAGCCUUAAGAUCACAUGCAAUAUGACUGCGUAAAAGAACUUGGGAUGUUUAAGACUGAGAAGAAAAAACAAUAGCUUUUUUCAAGUAGAGUUGUUCAAUGAAAGAGGGAAUUGAUAUAGAAUAA